GUUUGCAGUCAAAACUGUAUAAUCCAUUCUUUAUAAACCAUUUCACUCAUGCAUGGCAUACGGGUAAUAAAUAUCUCCUAUUAAGAAAGUACAUAAGUGAAUAUAAAGAUAUUCAAAAGAUGAAUUUAUAUGUUUCCUAUCAUAGAUAAAAAAAAAAAAAAACAAACGUUAACUCCAUUUGCUAACUGAACUUUAAUAGAAUUAUUUUAAUAGACACAUAAGGUCACGGCUGAGGUGCUGUUUAUUGACACUUAGACCAGGGACGCUGGGAUAGAAAUCAACCUUCUAUAUAACUACUAUUCUUUAAAUACAUUAUUUUUGUUUUUGUCUUUUCUUUUACUUUGUGUUUUUUUCUUGAGGGCAGGGCUCACUUUCUAACAUAGGCUUUCUCUGAACUCACUCUGUAGCCCAGGCUGGCCUUGAACUUCUGACAAUCCUUCUAUGGCAGACCUCCAAAUGGUUAUGAUUGUAGGCAGAAAGCCACAAUGAUUAACAUUAGAAAGUUUAAGUUAAAUUAUCUAGAUACCCAGAUGUUAAAAGGAAUGGAAAGAACUGAUAAAGGUUAUAGAAUAAUAUUUUUUCCCAAUUUGGUGGGCUUAAACAUAAGUUACUGUUUGACAUUAUAAAAUCACGAUAGCAUGUUAAGGUUAAAAUGAUUCUUAAAGACAAAUUCUUUUAAUUUUUUCCUUACAGAAAUAAAGAACCCAGCAGAGCAUUGUGGUGCACCUCUCAUCCAGCCCUGAGGAAUCAGAGGCAGUUGGAUCUCUGAGUUCAAGGCUAGACUGUUUUACACAAUAAGGUCUAGGACAGCAAGGACUACAUAUUUAAAAAGCAAGAAUCCAGGGAAUAGUUAACUGGGCAUAAUAAUUAGUGAGGUUUCAGAACUAAUGUAUAUAUAUUGAGAACAUCAGACAAUUAAUGUAUUCUUCCCAUGCAACCUUUCCCAGUAUUGAAUAAAGAACUGAAGCAACAGGUAUUUAAAUCUGAAAUCUCUAUUUUAAAAAAAAUGUUAAAGUGUGUGAGUAUUGUCAGCAUAAUCAAUAUAGUACAACAUAAUAUUAAAGAAAUAACCCUGAAACAAAACAGUGCAAUAGAUUAAACUAAAUCUCACUGUACUUAAAAGGGCUGUAAUACACGAAUGUCUUAUUAUUAACAUCCUGAUCUAAUACUGAACAAAGGCAACAACUAGAUAAUGGAUGGAUAAUAAUUGAAAUUUUAAUUAGCUGCUCUGUAUGAGAUUAAUGAAAAUUACCACUGUGCCCAUUUGAUCUUUUAAAAACAAUGCAGACAAAGUCAGCAGUUAGAGAACACCAUGCUAUUCCAAAGCUAGGUGACUAGAAAGCCUUCCUAAUUUGAAGCUAUUCCUUAAUUUGAAAAUCACUAGAAUGUAGAAACUUGUCUGUAUGGCUAUGAGUGUAUUAUUCUAAGACAGUACACAGAGAACUAAAAGGUACAUUGAGCCACAUCCUCCAUUGCCCAGAAAUAAAAAUUCAAUAUCAAAACUAGAAAAGCAAUGUUCAAUGGGAAUAUCCAAAGUAUGCAACAGAUAUAACCACUUCUGAGUUUAGUGACUUGAAACACCUUUUUCUUUCAUUUUUCAAUGUAACACAGAUUUACUUUUAAUUUCAGAAAAGGCUUCAGAGAUCUUAGUUGUAAACGUAUUAUGCUCUGGUCACUGGAUUGCACAUAGGUCUUUCAACUACAGUAUGUACACAGAUAGCAAUUACUAUCAAUUGCAAUAGAGUACAGUUAGAUUUUUGUCAAUAUGACACUAACUGGAGUCAAUGGAGAGAG
rnacentral:lncRNA from 1 species